AAUAUAAAUGCAAUCUUUGGGAAACCCAUCAUAGUCUAUAAAUAGUAAUACGGAAAAUCCAUUAAAGUAUAUUAAAUUCAAAGCGAGCGACUUCACAUAACAGUAUUGAACUAUUAACACGUAUAAAAUGAUUUACCGUACGCUGAGAGCGUUGAUAUUUAUAUGUUUUGAAGUUUUAUGUAGCGGAGAUGGAUGUAAUAGGGAAGUUGUUUUAGACCCCCAGGGUGCUGUUACCACUAAAGGCAGCAAAGUUAAAUUCGCCUGCUCAAUUUCGCAAUGUGUAACUACACACUAUCCGGACACCAAGUUUCAGAUGGCGCACAAUGGAACUGAAUUUGGCGAAGCAACAAAAACACAUGAAUCCAAAGAUGAUAAAUCCUUCGCCUAUUUCGAGAAACAGUUUAAUAGUCCCAGCGACGCAGGCACUUACACGUGCAAAGUGACACCUGAUGAACAACAACCAGCGCAAAGCAGCUCAACCAGCUUAAUCGUCGAAUUUUUGCCUGCUGAGGAUAAACCAACGUUUGUACGACUGAACAAUGGAACAAACCCCAUCAGUUGCCUUAGAGAUUUCAGUGAUUCUCAAGAUCUUGUGAUGGCGUGGGAUGACCGAAGAACGUCUUGUGACAGGAGUGAAAACACCAAAACUGUUGAGUUAAAAAGUUUGAAGGAAGUGAACAGAUACCGUGAAUGUUACGUCACGUCGACGCAAGCCUGCAAACAUUAUGGGAACGUUGCAAAUGCCAUUACAAAGCAUGCUGGUGUAAUCUAUAGAAAAUUAUAUUAGGUAUACAAAUACAUUUUGUUUUUAGCUCCACUGGUCAAAGGCCAGCGGGGCUUAUGUCAUGGUCCUGUGUCCGUCGUGGGUGCGUCAGUGCGUCCGUGCGUUAACUUUUUCUUUAAACAUCUUCUUCUCCUAAAAUACUGGUCCAAUUCUAGUGAAAUUUCUCAGGAAUGUUCAUGUGGUGAACCUCUUUCAAAUUUGUUCUAAUUAUGCCCCUGGGGUAAAAUUUGACCCUACCCCGGGGGUCAAAAAAUUGAAAAUUUGCUUAUAUAAGGCCUAUUUUGUGCAAACUUUAUAAAUCUUCUUGUCCAUAACCAUUGGGCCUAGGGCUACUAAAUUUAGUAUGUAGUGACAUCUUAUAGUCCUCUACCACGUUUGUUCAAAUUAUGCCCCUGGGGUUAAAUUUGACCCUGCCCCGGGGGUCAAAAAAUUGAAAAUUUGCUUAUAUAAGGCCUAUUUUGUGCAAACUUUAAAAAUCUUCUUGUCCAUUACAAUUGGGCGUAGGGCUACCAAAUUUAGUAUGUAGUGACAUCUUAUAGUACUCUACCAAGUUUGUUCAAAUUAUGCCCCUGGGGUCAAAUUUGACCCUUCCCCGGGGGGUUAAAAAAAUUGAAAAUUUGCUUAUAUAAGGCCUAUUUUGUGCAAACUUUAAAAAUCUUCUUGUCCAUAACCAUUGGGCCAAUUCUACCAAAUUUGCUAUUUAGUGACGUCUUAUAGUCCUCUACCAAGUUUGUUCAGAUUAUGCCCCUGGGGUCAAAUUUAACCCUGCCCCGGGGGGUUAAAAAAUUGAAAAUUUGCUUAUAUAAGGCCUAUUUUGUGCAAACUUUAAAAAUCUUCUUGUCCAUACCCAUUGGGCGUAGGGCUACCAAAUUUAGUAUGUAGUGACAUCUUAUAGUCCUCUACCAAGUUUGUUCAAAUUAUGCCCCUGGGGUCAAAAUUGACCCUGCCCCGGGGGGUCAAAAAAUUGAACAUUUGCUUAUAUAAGGCCUAUUUUGUGAAAACUUUAAAAAUCUAACUGUCCAUAACCAUUGGGCCAAGGGCUACCAAAUUUGGUAUGUAGUGACAUCUUAUAGUCCUCUACCAAGUUUGUUCAAACAAUGCCCCUGGGUUCAAAUUUAACCCUGCCUCGGGGGGUCAAAAAUUGAAAAUUUGCUUAUAUAAGGCCUAUUUUUUGAAAACUUUAAAAAUCUUGACGUCCAUAACCAUUGGGCGUAGGGCUACCAAAUUUGGUAUGUAGUGACAUCUAAUAGUCCUCUACCAAGUGUCUUCAAAUUAUGUCCCUGGGGUCAAAUUUGACCCUGCCCUGGGGGGGGGGUCAAAAAAUCGAAAAUUUGCUUAUAUAAGGCAUAUUUUGUGCAAACUUUAAAAAUCUUCUUGUCCAUAACCGUAUGGCAUAGGGCUACCAAAUUUGGUAUGUAAUGACAUCUUAUAGUCCGUUACCAAGUUUGUUCAAAUUAAGUCCCUGGGAUCAAAUUUGACCGUUCCCCAGGGGUCACAAAAUUGAACAUAUGCUUAUAUUGGGCCCAUUUUGUGCAAACUUUAAAAAUAUUCUUGUCCAUAACCAUUAUACCUAUUUCUACCAAAUUCGGUAGGUAGUGACAUAUAAUAGUUCUCUACUAAGUUUGUUCCAAUUAUGCCCCUGGGAACAAAUUUGACCUUGCCCCAGGGGUCACAAAAAUGAACAUAUGCUUAAAUAAGGCCUAUUGUGUGCAAACUUUAAAAAUCUUCUUGUUCUUAAUUAUAGAGCCUAGGGCUACUAAAUUUGGUAUGUAGUGAUAUCUAAUAGUCCUCUACCAAAUUUGUUCAAAUGAUUCCCCUGGGCUCAAAUUUGACCCGGCCCCGGGGGUCACAAAACUGAACAUAUGACGUUUACCAGUGGAGAUUACUGCGGCCGUUUGGCUGUGACCAACAACAACAUCAACAUCUUGUAAACAUGAGAUAAAACCCCGUCAGUAAGUGCCAUUUUAGGUCAGAUGGUGACUGCUUACAAAGGCAUUGAAGUAAGAACAUGUGUUAUGAAUGUUUUUCUUACAAACUGAAAAAAGUCGGGUUUUAUUUAAAUAUGUCGAAAGUGACCAUAUAUCCGGAUGAAAAUAUUUUGGAUGACAUGUUAAUUUCAUUUCUUUUUUGUAGUGUUUAAACCAGUUUAAUAAUAUAUUAUUGAUUUUAAAAACACAACUUCCAUGAACAUAAUUAUUUCAAGAAAAGUAAAUAUAUAUUACUGCACGGUAAACUAAAACUUUGUAUCCAAGAGAAGGUGUUGAAAUUAAUGAAGUGCAAUGUCUUAACUAUCGUAUAUGCUGCUUUUUAAUAACUAAUGAUUCAUUGUUCCACUUGUGAAUCGUGACUCAUGAAUUGUGGAUAUGAUUGUCAAUUGCUCAACAAUCCAUAUAUAUUUCUGACCAUUUUAUAAUUUUCUUAAUAAAAGUUAUGAAUUGAUCUUAGAAGUCAAAUGUAUUAAUUAAUUAAAUACAUUUAUAAAUAUAAAGAAAUAAUCUUUAGAUUAUCAUAAUAUUCUCAGGCCUGUUGGUCUUAGGGAUGUGUUGGUUGAUGAGCAAUUUCUCCUUUUAUCACAAUUAUUUCUACCCUACCUGAUCAUUUCCUUCAUAUUCCAUUUUAAUUUAAUUGACGUCUGCAACCUCUUUCAAAUUGGGAAAGUCCAAAAUGUGUCGUUUGGUAAAGGGUUAAGGCAUUCUGAUUCCAAUGGGUCUUGUGAAUCUGUUUCAAAUAAAAUGCGUAGAUUUGAUCUUCAGCAUCUAAAAAUAUGUGUAAUAGAGAGAACGACAAUAUCUUUUGGAGAGAUAAAUGUACCUACGUUAUAAGCAAAGGACCUAUGCAACAAUUCCCGGGCUUUUAAGUCAACACGGUAGUAACUUUUUCCAUAUAUAAAAAUGCUCACCCUUCCAACUUUAAACCCCCAGUGGGACGAGGGAUAGAAAGAGAAAGUCACAUGUUUGAGUACAUUUCAACCCAUGCGCAUUGCACGUUUUUUUCGCAAAGAAAAAACAGUGGAGCAAUACAGGGCCAUCAUGGCCCUCUUGUUUGUUGUUUCAUUCUGACUUUGAAUUCGGUUGCUGUGAAUUAAGUUCGUAGACAUUUCAUGUAAAGCCAGUACAUAACCAUCACUGUGUUAUCAAAUGAGGCAUUUAGGGCGGUGGGGGAUUUAUUGAUAAAAUCUGAAAUUUAUAUAAUAGUUUAUGCGCCAAACUUGAAACUAUAAAUUCAUAUAACCGAUCGUAAAUUUAAUCGAAACCAGCUAAUUUCGUCUAUAUAUUUAAUAUUACGUUUUUUUCUAAUCCAUAUAAUUAACAUGUCUUAGUAUAGCCCAUUCUACCAGAGGACUUUAUUUAUUUGGAACGAAAUAGCAUCAUUUGAUGACAUAGCCGCCGUGGAUCGCGAAAUCUUCUGUGUUGUACGAAAGCAUUCCAUUCAUAAUAUACAAGUGUUAUAUCUAGCUUUACGGAGUUAACAAUGCCCACAUGAAAACAAAAAAAAUAUAAUUUUACCUAAAUAAACAUCAAUAAAUGUCAAUAAAAUCUUAUUCGGCUGGACUUUAUGGUAUCUUUGAUUGUAAAAUUGCCAUUUAAAACGAAACGUGAAAUAAAACAUGUUACAGUAUUGGAUAUAAACCAAGAACGCACUGGGAACCUUGUAAACGUGACUGCAUUUGUAUUUGGACCUGGUGCAAAUACCGUCGAGACGAACUGGGAGAUAGAUGGAACGAAAAUCUCUAGCCACCAGAAAAACGUCUCAGAAAACGAAACGAUUAUAAGCGUUAUAGUAAACGGUACUAUAGGCGAAUUACAACUUGUCCAUAGGCUGGGAGUAUCGGAGCUGGGUCGGGAGAAUGUUUUACUGAAGGAGAAACAAGGACCAGAAGAUGCGACGCAACUUGGGGCCGGUGCUAUUGUUGGGAUAGUCUUGGGAAUACUAGUUGUAAUAGUACCCGUGAUCUUCUUCAUAGUGUACUCGCAAAGAAAGAAACAGUAUUGUUUCCGAAAAACAGCACAAACCAAUGAAUCUCAGAGCGAACCUUUACACGAUUUCGUAGCUGCAUCCACUGAAAACGGCAAAGUGCUAACAACCAAGUAGACGUCGCACCUUCUGCAAACAACGGAACCACUGGAAAGUGUAAACACUGGUGAAAAAAAUAGAUUGAUGAUUGAACAAAUAUGGCUUUUUGUCGCCCACCUUUUAAUAUCUAGACUUACGGGUUCAGAGAACUUGCUUCUACAUCUGAAACCGCUUUUACGAAGUUGGCCAUAAAAAAACGACCAAGAAAUUGUUCUUGAUAGGAAAGAUAGUGAAAUAGUGAUAACCUGCUCUCGGUCUAGAGACAGCAAUGACUGUUGGUGAAGUAUUUUCCGGCGAUGGCGGCAACGUUUGAAAGGUGGCUUGGCCUUUGGUUCGACUUCGAAUUAUACCCAGACGUUACUCUGAGGAGAACAUUGUAAGGACUGAAAUUUUAGUUCGAAAAGACAUUGAAUGAAAAAAAUCGAAUACACGACGUAUAUCUUAGUUUAAUAAAGAAGUAAAAUAAUCAGGAUUGAAAACAAUGUUUGAAAUAGUUAUUAAUUCGAAAUAGUCUAGCGGUAUUCAACUGUUAAAUACAUUAAAUAAAAACACAUGGGCGUGGAAAUAAUUUUGAUUUUUACGAAAAGCGGCUCUGAACUUUUAAGUGUUCGAGAUAUUUGUGUUAUUUUGAAAGUUUUUUUCAUACUUGUACGUUUGUUAAGUACGCGUUUGCCUUGUAAAUGGCAUUUGUUUAGUGCCCAAUUGUUCGGCAAUUAACGUUGUUUUUAGUCAUAGAUAUAGCACCGCAUUUCAUAAAAUGUUCUCACCUGCUGGUGCAGCUAAAUUAUCAGUUCAUCUGUAUUUGAAACAACGUUGUUUAAUGACUGAUCAGGAUAGUAUUAUGAAGUAGGGCCUUUGCAUUUAAAUAAUUAUUUACUUAUCUAGCAAAGUGUUCUUUAUUUAAUGAAAAAAAAUAGCGGGUGUAUGUGCAACAUCUAUUGUAUGAAAUGGAUGUCUAUCUUCUCUGAAUCUUUAAAAUGCGUAAACACUACCAUAUUGUUUAUUUACGUUUGUUUAGUUAGAUUUUUUUGCUGUAUUAAACAGUAUUUUAUUGAUAUCACGGAGGUCAGUUAAAGGUAAACCAUCUUUAUUAUAUAGUUUAUUCCUGGGUUAGCUUACCAGUACUAAUUGUACAUACUUACAAGCCAGUUACUGACUACUUGAAUUCAAACUUAACUCAGAGGUAGCGGAAGAAAGUCCGUUGAACAUGCUUCACGACCAAUGCCUCACACAGGCCCAUUUGUUUAUAAUCUUUUAAAUAAUGCGAUGUAAAUAAAUUAUAUUAAGUACCCCGUUUUUAUUUUUAUAUUGUGAUGGCUGUUGUUUCGUUCUUAAAUCAUUAAAAAGUGCCAAUUAUACGAAAUUAUCGUUUCUGACAAACAAAAUCUGGAAUAAUGGGUUUAAUUUUAAUUCGGUCUGACCCUUUAUUUGUGUUUCUCUAUUGUCGCGAAACCCUUAUAAUUUUAUCACACUUCAAACGCUUACAGGCGAGAACCAGCUUUGUGAAAGAUAUUGAGAAUAGGUCUAGGUAGGUUUGAGAUCGUGCCAGGGACUGUGUCAAAGACACACUCCUGUACCCUUGGUAUUAUCACUAUUAAUGGAGUUUCAUACCUGUAUCAAAAUCCUAAACAAGUAAAAAUUGGUACAUACUAUUAUCAAAUGUACUGAAAAUAUAAUAAUAAAGAUGAUACCAGAAUAUUGAGAAAGGAUAUAUUCUUAAAUCCAAAUGAAAUCACUGUGUGGAUUUGAUUUGUUGUUUUGGUUUGUUUUAUCAAGAUAUCUGUAGCUCGCAUGCGAUGUGGUCAACAUGCCAUACAAGUGUAAUCUGGUUUUCAACCCACCAAACUUCGCUGUUUUAAGAACUCAUGUCGUUUAAUUUCUGCACAUUUGUGAAAAUAUUGAUUCAUGUGCUGUCCCAUUGUAUUUAUAUUUUUACUCAUCUUGAUGUGUUUUGUCAUUACAAUUUAAUGCAUGAUGCAUUGUUCAGUUUAAAUGUAAAUGAAUGUAUUUUAACGUUAAUGAUUUGGUUAGAUUUUUUUCACCGUUAAUAACAUGCUUUUUAAAUUUAUUUUUUCUCUUUUUACAUUCCUACGUAAAUGUAUAACUGUAGCUAUGUUGCAUUAUCAAAUUGUGGCUAUCUUACAUUAUCAGAGAAAACGAUAACGUGCAUAAAUAUUAAGUUUACUGCACAUUACGAUCAAGAUGAUGAAAAUAUAAUUAUCACUAUUUAUCAUAAUACUUUUAACAAAAAUAUUACCAUUCUAAUAUCUAGCUACUAUCUAUUAUCUUACAACACCAUGUAUACAAAAAUAAAUAAAUACAUAUAAUUAUAAUAAUAAUGGGUUUUCGUUAUGACAACAUAUUUAAACUUUGCGCUCGUUAAUUGUGCUUGUUGUGAUUCUCUUUACAUUUUUAUUUCUGCUGAAAUGUAUUUACUCUUAUUUUUAUCAUAAUUUAAAAUCAAUUGAAACUAUUUGUGAAGUUGUUUUAUUUUUUUUACAAAUUUUAAAAGUAUAUACCUUAGAAUCAGUCUUUCAUGUUUGUAUACAGCAGUUUGUAUCUCUAAGAUACAUUUAAGUACAAAAAUAAUUUUUCAACGUAAGACUGUUGAAACAUUUUUAACCGCCAUUUAUGUAAAGUAUUAUAAUUUUUAAAUUGGACUAACCUGUCUCAUUAUUUGCUUUACUUGUUUGAAUGUUUUCUGAUGUUUGUUUUGUGUAUGUUAAGCCAUUUGUAGUUCUUAAUAUAUCUAGAUGUUUUGACAGAUUAUAUGUAAAUUGUGUUGUACAAAUAUUGUUUUUAAAUAUAUAAACAUACAGCAGAACACCGUAUUUUCCAACACAGUUUAUCUUACUUUCUCGUUAUUUCGGAUCAUUUUUGGGGUAGCGAUUUUCUUUCUGAAUUUAGUUUGAAAUAUUAGUUUUAGAACUGUUUUAUUGAACUGAAUUGCUAUUACAAAUACAAAUGCACGUAUAAUUCAAAUAAAUCAAAGAUCCACUU